UACGUAGGGUGCGAGCGUUGUCCGGAAUUAUUGGGCGUAAAGAGCUUGUAGGCGGUUUGUCGCGUCUGCUGUGAAAUUUCGGGGCUCAACCCCGAACUUGCAGUGGGUACGGGCAGACUAGAGUGUGGUAGGGGAGACUGGAAUUCCUGGUGUAGCGGUGAAAUGCGCAGAUAUCAGGAGGAACACCGGCGGCGAAGGCGGCACUCUGGGCCGGUACUGACGCUGAGGAGCGAAAGCGUGGGUAGCAAACAGG
rnacentral:rRNA from 1 species